rnacentral:rRNA from 1 species
GAUGAACGCUGGCGGCGUGCCUAAUACAUGCAAGUCGAGCGAACAGACGAGGAGCUUGCUUCUCUGACGUUAGCGGCGGACGGGUGAGUAACACGUGGAUAACCUACCUAUAAGACUGGGAUAACUUCGGGAAACCGGAGCUAAUACCGGAUAAUAUUUUGAACCGCAUGGUUCAAUAGUGAAAGACGGUCUUGCUGUCACUUAUAGAUGGAUCCGCGCUGCAUUAGCUAGUUGGUAAGGUAACGGCUUACCAAGGCAACGAUGCGUAGCCGACCUGAGAGGGUGAUCGGCCACACUGGAACUGAGACACGGUCCAGACUCCUACGGGAGGCAGCAGUAGGGAAUCUUCCGCAAUGGGCGAAAGCCUGACGGAGCAACGCCGCGUGAGUGAUGAAGGUCUUCGGAUCGUAAAACUCUGUUAUUAGGGAAGAACAUAUGUGUAAGUAACUGUGCACAUCUUGACGGUACCUAAUCAGAAAGCCACGGCUAACUACGUG